GAAUGAAGAUGACAAUACACAAAGCAGAUACAGCAGAACAGCAAGUAGUGAUUACAGCUUGGUGAAGCCCCUGCCCUGAAUGAUGUGCCCUAGAGCCAUUUACUGGGGGAGAGGAAGAUGUGGGAGAAAAUAAAGCAUUUCUGUGUAAUCAGAAAGCAUCAAAAGAUAGGAGAGGAUUUAUUUAGGAUGUAUGAGCUAUGUGCAGGAAUCAGAAAAUGAAUUGGAACUUUCAUGUGACAAGAUCAGCCUCUAAUUAUGAUGUAAGAAAUUAUUUCCUCAUAGUCUGUGAGGUACUUGGAAAAAGGGCCUCUGCUGGAGGCUCUUGAUGACAUCUGGUGCUCCUGGGUGAGAAAAGAAAAGUCAGAGGUCUGCAGAGCUCCAGCUUGAUGCACACAGCUUGAUUAUAAAGCAGUCUGUCUCUCUAGAUGUUGGAGGUGACAUGCUCUCCGCCUAAGGGAUUAACCAAAAGGGAAAGUUGAUCUGAAUAUCCUGGGGAAGCAGAGUUCUAUUGACUCUCUGAAUCUCAGAAUUGCUCAUGCAGUAAAACAGGAGUUUUAUCCAGCAGGAAAA